UUUAUUCAUGAGAUAUCUACACUUUAAUUGCUAUACUGCUGCUCUGAUUUGGCUCAAUAUUUAAUCUGUUAUGUGCCUGCGAUUAAGUAUACGCUUAGUUGUCUAAUCAGCGUUAAAUCUUCGCUUAGUUGAUUAGACUAUAUGGUGCAUGACUGAUUGGAUUUGAGCAUUGCAUUGGCUUAGUUUGCAAUUCUAAAAAUCGAAUUAGUCUUCGCUUAGUUGGGUGAUUCGUGUGGGAUUUGGAUUAGAGUAGUGUGUACUUGUCG
rnacentral:lncRNA from 1 species